rnacentral:rRNA from 1 species
ACUAAUGAGAGUUUGAUCCUGGCUCAGAACGAACGCUGGCGGCGUGCUUAACACAUGCAAGUCGAACGGGGUUAUAUGGAGUAGCAAUACGAGAUAUAGCCUAGUGGCGGACGGGUGAGUAACACGUAGGC